CCUACGGGUGGCAGCAGUGGGGAAUAUUGCACAAUGGGCGAAACCCUGAUGCAGCAACGCCGCGUGAGGGAUGAAGGCUUUCGGAUCGUAAAGUCCUUUUGUUAGGGUAGAUUAUGACGGUACUUGACGAGUAAGCACCGGCUAACUACGUGCCAGCAGCCGCGGUAAUACGUAGGGUGCUAGCGUUACCCGGAAUCACUGGGCGUAAAGAGUGCGUAGGUGGGGUUAUAAGUCAGAUGUGAAAUGCUGUAGCUUAACUAGAGUACAGCAUUUGAAACUGGUAAUCUGGAGUGUGGGAGAGGAGAGUGGAAUUCUUAGUGUAGCGGUAAAAUCCGUAGAGAUCAAGAGGAAUACUCGUUGCGAAGGCGACCCGCUGGAACAUUACUGACGCUGAGGCACGAAAGCGUGGGGAGCAAACAGGAUUAGAUACCCGGGUAGUC
rnacentral:rRNA from 1 species